ACCUGAAUAUGUGAUAGGUGAUACUCAAUCAAAUAUCUUAACAUAUAUACAAAUCGAAAUGUCGUUAAAUAUAAAUUAAAAUAUAGGACUAAAUACCUAUAGUUACACUGCAUAAUUAACAACUCCAAGUAGAUACAUGCGGUAGUUGUUAUAAGACCUAAAUCAAGAUCUACAAAAAUGUAUUAUUAUUCUGGAGCAAAAGUGUAAUUAUUUUAAUACAAUACUAGGACAAUAUUGAACA